GUGUUUACUUCAGGAGGACAUAUACUAAAAUUGGACAGAUAGGGAGAUAAGCAUGGCCACUGUGCAAGGAUGACACACAAAAUCACAAAAUGGUUCAUAUUUUU
ensembl:snRNA U6 U6 spliceosomal RNA